UCCAAAAUCGAAUCACAAAUGAGCUUCUUCUGGCUCCGCGGAAGGGCUCAUUCUUGAUUCCGUUGCCUUCUCCUUUUUCUUC
ensembl:ncRNA Y71F9AR.8 ncRNA